AAUAGAUACCCGGGUAGUCCACGCCGUAAACGAUGAGUGCUAAGUGUUAGGGGGUUUCCGCCCCUUAGUGCUGCAGCUAACGCAUUAAGCACUCCGCCUGGGGAGUACGGCCGCAAGGCUGAAACUCAAAGGAAUUGACGGGGGCCCGCACAAGCGGUGGAGCAUGUGGUUUAAUUCGAAGCAACGCGAAGAACCUUACCAGGUCUUGACAUCCUCUGACAACUCUAGAGAUAGAGCGUUCCCCUUCGGGGGACAGAGUGACAGGUGGUGCAUGGUUGUCGUCAGCUCGUGUCGUGAGAUGUUGGGUUAAGUCCCGCAACGAGCGCAACCCUUGAUCUUAGUUGCCAGCAUUCAGUUGGGCACUCUAAGGUGACUGCCGGUGACAAACCGGAGGAAGGUGGGGAUGACGUCAAAUCAUCAUGCCCCUUAUGACCUGGGCUACACACGUGCUACAAUGGACGGUACAAAGAGUCGCGAGACCGCGAGGUGGAGCUAAUCUCAUAAAACCGUUCGCAGUUCGGA
rnacentral:rRNA from 1 species